rnacentral:tRNA from 1 species
CAACUUUAGCUUGCUGGGUAGAGCAUACGCCUUCUAAGCGUAUGGUCAGAGGUUGGAAUCCUCUAAGCUGCG